UAGUAGUCAUACGCUCGUCUCAAAGAUUAAGCCAUUCAUGUGUAAGUAUAAAUAGUUAACUUUGAAACUGCGAAUGGCUCAUUAUAUCAGUUAUAGUUUAUUUGAUGAAGAAUACUAAUUGGAUAACCGUAGUAAUUCUAGAGCUAAUACAUGUAUAAAGUCUUGUAGACUGCAUUUAUUAGAAUGAAAACCAUAGGUUUCGGCCUAUUCGUGAGUAAUAAUAACUAAUCAUAUCGUAUGCUUAUGUAACGAUGUGCCUUUCAAGUUUCUGCCCUAUCAGCUUUCCAUGGCAUGGUAUUGGACUACCAUGGAGACGACGGGUGAAUACUAA
rnacentral:rRNA from 1 species